CCUGAGGCCUGAACUAUAAGCUCCUUCUAGGCAUUUUUUUUUUUUUAAAUCAUGGGAAACCAUUUUUUUCCUUUAAGCCAUUAUUAAUAAGGUUUUCUGUUACUUCCAGCGAAACAAAUCCUAAUGGAUACAUGUUUUCUUCAUUAUGCAUUCUUGCAGUUUCUGCCUGAAGAAGCCACCCACCGUACUGAUUUCACUCCUGAGAGCCAUACAUUACAAGUCCAAUUCCUCUUUGACGGGCUUCCUGUCCUGUACAAAUUUGAUAAGCAUGCCUCCUGUGUCUUCAUUUCAACUCACUGAUAGCAAGUGUAACCCAGAUAAUCACUCUUU